CUCACUGUAGAUGCUGGAGUGUAUUGAAUGUCCAGCUUCGCUACCAACUGUUGUGGUUGGUUUGUGAUUCUCCUCUCCUCUAUGGCUGCACCAGCGGUCCUUGCUUGCAGUUUCUGAGCACAGAUUGAAAUGAAAAAAGUCUUUCCAGGUUGAAUUGCCUUUACAUGUGGGAAGGGUCCUCCUGCUGCUACAUCUCCAGUUGCUGUUGAGCUACCUCCCUCUACCGGUGGACCCCAGAAGGGCCUUCAAAGUUUACCUUUCCAAAGAUGAUUGUUUGGAGGAUGCUUGGACUUAUGCUCCCACCCAGAAGCUGUAGCCAAUGAUGAAUGAGAGAUAAAUUUAAAAGCUGGCCCUACCCUUCAAUCAGGGCUGCUGUGAUUAGCCCCUUUUCCACCAAGAGCCCUAGGAUUUAAAGGCCCCAGAUUUAUUUUACCCAGGUAAUAAGAAUCCCUGGGAAUUGUGUAUGUUCUUUUUUCAUUUUCCAUGGCCACGGACCAUUUAUUUAAAUCAGCCUAAUGACGUAUGGGGAAGUUAUGAAGAAUACUGCACUGCACCUUCAGUCCAGAUGGCAUUACUCCGUCACUCCGUUUUAAAGACUGUUAGUUAAUAAAUGUUUUUUUGUUUUUUUUUGUUUGAACUGAUAAAUAAUAGACAAACAGCUUUUGAGCUAUGCAGUUGGUUAAUUCCUUUCAUUAUUCAUAAAGUUGCACUGGAUCCAUAAGCAAGAAAAGUUUAAAUCACUGUUUUACAUAAAAUUUUUACCAACCUGCA